rnacentral:rRNA from 1 species
UACGAAGGGGGCUAGCGUUGUUCGGAAUCACUGGGCGUAAAGGGCGCGUAGGCGGCCGAUCAAGUCGGGGGGUGAAAGCCUGUGGCUCAACCACAGAAUUGCCUUCGAUACUGUUUGGCUUGAGACCGGAAGAGGUUAGUGGAACUGCGAGUGUAGAGGUGAAAUUCGUAGAUAUUCGCAAGAACACCAGUGGCGAAGGCGGCUGACUGGUCCGGUUCUGACGCUGAGGCGCGAAAGCGUGGGGGAGCAAACAGG